AUGAACGCUUAGCGGCAGGCUUAAUACAUGCAAGUCGAACGGUAACAGGUCUUCGGACGCUGACGAGUGGCGCACGGGUGAGGAACACGUACACAAUCUACCUUAUACUGGAGAAUAGCCCCGGGAAACUGGGAUUAAGUACUCCAUAGUCUUUAAUGAUCACAUGAGAAUAAAGUAAAGCUUCGGCGGUAUAAGAUGAGUGUGCGUCCCAUUAGAUUGUUGGUGAGGUAACGGCUCACCAAGUCGACGAUGGGUAGCUGGCGUGAGAGCGCGACCAGCCACACUGGCACUGAGACACGGGCCAGACUCCUACGGGAGGCAGCAGUAGGGAAUAUUGGUCAAUGGACGAAAGUCUGAACCAGCCAUGCCGCGUGGAGGAUGACUGCCCUCUGGGUUGUAAACUCCUUUUAUAUGGGAAGAAACCUCUGGAUUCACUCCAGAGCUGACGGUAUCAUAUGAAUAAGCACCGGCUAACUCCGUG
rnacentral:rRNA from 1 species